CGGAGAGGGCGAGUGGACGUGGGGAAGCUGGCCCCCGCUGGGGUCGCCGUGAGCCGAUACGGGGAACGUCGCCCGAGGGUUUCGCACUCGCUCUGGAAACGGACCGUUUGAGGACGGGGACUCGGCCGCUCCCGGGCGCCGCGCCGGUCGUCCAUUGGUCGGCGGCGUGACCCGUGUCGGAGCUGCCUACUUUUCCACUCUGGCUCUGGUCGCUGGCUGUCGGUCAGCUCCUCCCCCCAUUGUGCUGAGAGCGCGUUCGAGUGGAUCUUGCCGCCGUGCCCCGCUGCUCAGUCAUACAGCCACCGCUGUCCCGGUGGUCACGAAUAGAAAAUUCCAGCUCCCGCUGCACUAUGGUAUAGGCAUGACUCUUGUAUGUUACUUCACUUAGCAGACACUUUUCUCCAAAGCGACUUCCAAUGAACUCUAUGUAGCGUUAUCAGCCCACACACCUUAUUCACCGCGGUGACUUACACUGCUAGUACUGUACACUAUACAUGAGCUGUGUGCAGCAGGCUCAAGACAGGGUCUCCCUCCAUGGGCACAGCAAGGGCCCCCCAUGCAAAAUAUUUCCAUUUGUGACCGAGAGGAUAAGUGGCCCCAUUAUUCACUCUUGGUUCAUCCCAGACUGCCAGGAAGUUCCCAUCGCUUAUGAUGAUAAAUGGCAUCGCUGGACUAAUGGCUACCGUGCGCAUGAUCACUACGCUUUAACCAUGUUCACCCCGUGCGAUAUUCCGCGACCAGCCGAAAGCUCCCAUUUCAAGUGGUGUAAUUUUACACCAUCGCUGAACUACAAGCUGGUGAAUCUCUUUAACACGCAACACCGCUGCAGCUUCUGUCAGUCAGUCUUCAAUGUAGGCUUGGCAAGGCACCUUGAGUUCGCUGUCUUCAUUUAUGUUUUAUACCCCGCUGCUGACAGCGCCUUCCUUCAAGUGCCAGGCUGCAUUAAGGGCCUGAACCCCAUACUCCCCUGGUGCACGCUCCAGUCACAUGAUGGAUACUUGCUAGACUUGGAAGCACGUGGCCACAUCCGAUGACUGACGCCGAUCGAAGAAGAGCCGUCUUCACUGGUGCAGAUACCUGGAUGAGCCUUCGUGGGCGCUGGUGCAACACCUGAGCCCAACCAACAGGAAAUGUGGGUAACCAUAGAACUAUGGAAAAAACCCGUUAUAUUAUAUAGCAUGAUAAACAGCAAAGUGUCACUAUGUUUUUCAUCAGAAAGAAACAACUGUUGAAAUUAUUCAUUAAUAUUUAGAAUGACCUUUAUCCAAGGUGAGUUACAAUGGCUGUUCUACUUAGAGAUAUCUGUUCAUGGGCUCAGCAGAGCAACACAACGCCCGCCCCCCCCCCCCCACACACACACACACACACACACACACACACACACACACACACACACUCUUCAGGAAAUGCAGAGUGACCACUUUGCCUGAAACACAUGUCUUUGGACUGUGUGAGGAAACCAGAGCACCUGAUGGAAACCCACUCGAAUAUGAGAAGAUGCAAACUCCACACGUACGAGCCAGAGUGGAACCCGCAACCCAGGGCCCGCUCCGAUCAGCUGUCCCUCCGCUCACCGAGGCCACGUCACCAUUGUGUAACGGGCUGGUGUUGCGUCUCGUUAUGUGUAAAGGGACAGCGCAACAGACCACCAGCAGAGGCUGACAGAGGUCCGGCGCGGGCGUGAACAAUGGGUCGUGUUGUUCCGCCCGAGCGCUCAGCCGACGCACAUUUCGGCUCGACCUACGAGGGAUGUUUUUCGAAACGCCGUUCCUGCUUGCUGCAGCGCAGGCUCAUUUCCGCGUGGAAAUUAAUUUCUCCUGGCUGGUGAAGCCCGCGGCAAAAUAUAUCUUUGAACCAAGCACUGUUAACGUGGAGUGGCUGUGUGACGUGCGUCAGUGUGUGCGCGCGCGUGUGUGCGUGUGUGUGUGGAGGUCUCCCUCGGGUAUUGGCCCCAUCCUCAUAGCCUCCCCCUUCUCUCCCUCGCCCUCUCUCUUUCUUUCUCUCUUUCUCUCUCUCUCUCUCUCUGUCUCUCUC
ensembl:lncRNA